rnacentral:rRNA from 1 species
AUUGAACGCUGGCGGCAGGCCUAACACAUGCAAGUCGAACGAGUGGCGGACGGGUGAGUAAUGUCUGGGAAACUGCCUGAUGGAGGGGGAUAACUACUGGAAACGGUAGCUAAUACCGCAUACCCUCAGAUGUGCCCCGAUGGGAUUAGCUAGUGGGUGGGGGAACGGCUCACCAAGGCGACGAUCCCUAGCUGGUCUGAGAGGAUGACCAGCCACACUGGAACGGGGACACGGUCCAGACUCCUACGGGAGGCAGCAGUGGGGAAUAUUGCACAAUGGGGGCAAGCCUGAUGCAUCCAUGCCGCGUGUAGGAAGAAGGCCUUCGGAUUGUAAAGCAUGUUAAGUUGGGAGGCGUUACCAACAGAAUAAGCACCGGCUAACUUCGUGCCAGCAGCCGCGGUAAUUC